UAUCCGGAUUUAUUGGGCGUAAAGGGCUCGUAGGCGGCUCGUCGCGUCCGGUGUGAAAGUCCAUCGCUUAACGGUGGAUCUGCGCCGGGUACGGGCGGGCUGGAGUGCGGUAGGGGAGACUGGAAUUCCCGGUGUAACGGUGGAAUGUGUAGAUAUCGGGAAGAACACCGAUGGCGAAGGCAGGUCUCUGGGCCGUCACUGACGCUGAGGAGCGAAAGCGUGGGGAGCGAACAGGAUUAGAUACCCUGGUAGUCCACGCCGUAAACGGUGGACGCUGGAUGU
rnacentral:rRNA from 1 species